GGCUGGUCUGAAGGUAGUGCAUCAUCUUAUUGAUUGUUCAUACUCAGUUACAGAUAAUACUCCUUGUUCUAUUCUUUCCCCGCUUCUCACUACUGCACUUGACUAGUUUAAA
rnacentral:Y_RNA from 1 species